rnacentral:lncRNA from 1 species
GCAGCAAGUCAAAGACAAGGUAAUCGCAACUUCGCACCUUCUGUGGUUGCUGUUUUCCUGGAAAUCAUAUCUAUCUUUUGGGUGGUGGUACGCGGAAAUCAACUCCUCUUCUACGCUUUUCAUAAAGGAUCAAAAGGAAAUUUCUUGAUUGUUGGCAUGAGGUGUAAAAUGAAUACAAUCCAUCGCUACCAUUUUUUUAUUUCUCAUAUGAAUUUCGCAAAUCAUUUUUUUUAUGGAACUUUAUACUCAUAUCUUUUGAGUGCGCAUCAGAUAAAUCUCUAACUAAUUUUGAGUAAAUUGCAAUAGAUUCGAGUAUCUUCAUGUUCUUAUUCAGAUUACAAUUUUCUAAUAUAGAUAACAUCAGCACAGAAGCAAAGCAAAACAACCUUGGAGUUGGAAAAACUCAUGUAUCAGGAUGCUAUACACGGACAAGGAUUAAAACAUUGGUGUGCAAGCAGAGCAGCAGUAGCAAUCACAAAUCAGAAGCGUCAAUACGGUGGAGGCGGCGGUGCCCGAGGAGAAGGACGGAUGGAAUGAAGAGGAGGAUUGACCCUGGGAGGUGGUGGCGAUGGUAUUGACCUUCUCAAUACCCCCACCUUGUAGUUAGGAAAAUCAUUUGAAGAAAUUGCAUCAGAAGAAGACCAUUCAAAAGCCUUGCAGAUGUAGCUACUAUGAGAUGAUAAUAGCAGAACAUGGAUCAAGAAGAAACAAAGUAAAGAUGAAAUGGCACCCAUCGUUGGUUGUUGUUGGAACACUAGUAAGAUGUGCCCAUUUAUAUUAGUAACCCGGUUUAUGAAGACUUUCCAUACAGAUUAGCUUGGUUUAUGUGCUGGUAGCCUUCCAGCUAUGCUAGUUUGGUUUCUAUUUUUCUUUUGC